rnacentral:rRNA from 1 species
UACGGGGGAUGCAAGCGUUAUCCGGAUUUAUUGGGUUUAAAGGGCGCGUAGGCUGUGAGGUAAGUCAGCGGUGAAAUGCCCCCGCUCAACGGGGUGAAGUGCCAUUGAUACUGCCUUGCUGGAAUGCGGAUGCCGUGGGAGGAAUGUGUGGUGUAGCGGUGAAAUGCAUAGAUAUCACACAGAACACCGAUUGCGAAGGCAUCUCACGAAUCCGCGAUUGACGCUGAUGCACUAAAGCGUGGGUAUCAAACAGG